rnacentral:rRNA from 1 species
UAGGGAAUCUUCGGCAAUGGGGGGAACCCUGACCGAGCAACGCCGCGUGAGUGAAGAAGGCUUUCGGAUCGUAAAGCUCUGUUGUUAAGGAAGAACGAGUGUGAGAAUGGAAAGUUCAUACUGUGACGGUACUUAACCAGAAAGGGACGGCUAACUACGUGCCAGCAGCCGCGGUAAUACGUAGGUCCCGAGCGUUGUCCGGAUUUAUUGGGCGUAAAGCGAGCGCAGGCGGUUAGAUAAGUCUGAAGUUAAAGGCAGUGGCUCAACCAUUGUAGGCUUUGGAAACUGUUUAACUUGAGUGCAGAAGGGGGGAGUGGAAUUCCAUGUGUAGCGGUGAAAUGCGUAGAUAUAUGGAGGAACACCGGUGGCGAAAGCGGCUCUCUGGUCUGUAACUGACGCUGAGGCUCGAAAGCGUGGGGAGCGAACAGG